rnacentral:rRNA from 1 species
UGNNAGUCGAACGGUAGAGGGGGCAACCCCUCGAGAGUGGCGAACGGGUGAGUAAUAUAUCGGAACGUGCCCAGUCGUGGGGGAUAACGUAGCGAAAGUUACGCUAAUACCGCAUACGAUCUACGGACGAAAGCGGGGGAUCGCAAGACCUCGCGCGAUUGGAGCGGCCGAUAUCAGAUUAGGUAGUUGGUGGGGUAAAGGCUCACCAAGCCAACGAUCUGUAGCUGGUCUGAGAGGACGACCAGCCACACUGGAACUGAGACACGGUCCAGACUCCUACGGAAGGCAGCAGUGGGGAAUUUUGGACAAUGGACGCAAGUCUGAUCCAGCCAUUCCGCGUGCAGGAUGAAGGCCCUCGGGUUGUAAACUGCUUUUGUACGGAACGAAAAGGUCUCUCUUAAUACGGGGGGCUCAUGACGGUACCGUAAGAAUAAGCACCGGCUAACUACGUGCCAGCAGCCGCGGUAAUACGUAGGGUGCAAGCGUUAAUCGGAAUUACUGGGCGUAAAGCGUGCGCAGGCGGUUAUGUAAGACAGAGGUGAAAUCCCCGGGCUCAACCUGGGAGCUGCCUUUGUGACUGCAUAGCUAGAGUACGGUAGAGGGGGAUGGAAUUCCGCGUGUAGCAGUGAAAUGCGUAGAUAUGCGGAGGAACACCGAUGGCGAAGGCAAUCCCCUGGACCUGUACUGACGCUCAUGCACGAAAGCGUGGGGAGCAAACAGGAUUAGAUACCCUNNAGUCCACGCCCUAAACGAUGUCAACUGGNUNGUUGGGUCUUCACUGACUCAGUAACGAAGCUAACGCGUGAAGUUGACCGCCUGGGGAGUACGGCCGCAAGG